GGUCUUAUAUUCAAUUAUGAUUUUAAAUUGCAAAUUUAAAGGUGAGGUUUAUCUCUAAGACUU
rnacentral:tRNA from 1 species